CAAAUAAAAUACAGUCCUUUUAAUUUAAUAAUUUUUAUAAUUAAGGAUUCUGCAAGGAAAAACAUGCUCUCACAACAACUAGUACACACAUGAUAAAACACGUUCAAUCAAAUCAAUCUGGAGAAAGAGAGAGACAGAGGGGCGGUCAGACUGGCUGUUGCCUUAGUAACAACUGACUCCAAUUACUCAGUUUUGGAAGGAAUCUUCUAGCCUCCAGCCACUUAUAUUUUUGAUAUUUAAAUUAAAUAACUGCUUUUAUGUGUCACUCAGGAAUUAACUGUGACACGUUAAGAGGAUGAACAGUGGACGCCAGUGAACAAGAGUUUAAACUAAAGCCAGCAGAUCCGCUUUAAUUCGCAGGACAUGAUGUCAGACAGACCCACACGAGGAUAGAAUAUCCUUCAAUGACAUCGUGCUUUCACAACAGCAGACACCCACAGAUAAGAUAAACAAGAGACAACUGAUACAGGUAUCAACAACAGGGUGUGCCUGACAAUGACGAGUGGAGUAGGGUAUGCAGGGGAGGUAGCUCGCUUCUUGCUGUUCACGGAACCUGUCAGAGUUAUUUCCUCUUAGUAGCGGAGGUUCGUGGGGUGAAGUUCGGUUCUCACUUCUGUGGCUGAGCGAGAAACCUUGACUUCUAAAAAGUUAAGGUGUAGUUUAUCAGUUCGUAUCGUACUGAUAAGUGUUUGGUACUUGAUAUAUUUGACGGUUCACGAGUUCACAGAGUACAGAACAUUCAGCCCGUGGGAAGAGCUUUUCAUUCAGCAUCUCUUCAGAUUGUAGAAAGAUUAAAUAUGUUAGCAUGGCUUAAAGUAUUGUACAUACACCACCACCUCCUAUGAGUAGCAUUUGGUGGUGUAUAAAGUGGAAGAGAAUGACAAAGGGUAAAGAUGGCUUUAUAGAAAAAAAUAGGUGUGACAAUACAAUCGCGAGCUAGGAAUGUUUGCAGCCUAGCCAGGUACUACAUGCGGAGAAAUAAUAUCGUACCAUCUUAAAUACAUAUUUAUAUAUCACGUGUCACAACUUUAAGUUUAGAGAUUUUCCUUGACAACAGAACUAGAGCGAAUCCCAGCAGUAGCACCAGGAUUUUCCUAGUUAACACGUGAUUGUCAGUAUUGUGUAAUGUAUAACGGUUUUUUUCCCCCCGCUGAACACUCCCCAUCUGACCAGGUCUCUAAAACUCAGAGGUAGUUUAUGAUGAAACAUGUGUAUUAACAUCGUAUAUAUAAGUACUUAAACAAUUGUGUCUUUUAAAAGCGGAAGCACAGCAACAGGAGAUUGAGCUCCCAUGUCGAGUAAAAACUCUUUUCUCCGCCAGCAAUAAAAGCCAUAAUUAAUCUGUCAGGUCGCCAGUCUUUUACCUGCGUCCAGGUAUCACAUCCGUGCCAAUGGCAGUAAAUCUGGUGGCGCACAAUGAGCCACUGGUGGUCUUUUCUAGCUGACACCUGGGUUCAAGGAGAUACAGUGUUUAACACCAGAAACGCGCCGGCAACCCUCGGGUUCGAACACUGCCCGGAAACUUGUGAGUGUGGGUACGAUGCUGAUUGGUUCAUCGCCAAAUGUAAUAAAGCACAUUUAGUGGCCUUCCUGAUGUACAUGCUAAUAAAGUCACAGUAGUAAUAGCAAAGUAUUUGUUGAUCUCCAACGAUAUUUUAUUUCAAGAAAUACGGUACAGAGAGCUAGUCCGCCAUGUCUUGUUGUAAAGGUGCACAAAUCAAGAAGUUCUGCUAGGAAGAAGAAAACAUGUUUUUAUGUUGACAAGGAAGUUAAUUACUGUUUAGCUACAUAGACACGUAGGAAAUACCCUGAUGUUGUUCUUCCUAGUUUCAAGGUCUACUUUCACAGGUAGGUCAUAAUCUAGCUCUAUGUUCACCCGCAUAAAGACCUUCAUUCAAACUCCUGUCUGACUAGUUGUGGCACAAACAGCUUUCUUAUCAACAUUCUUUUCUCAUGCAAAGCCUCUUUGGGAAACAGCCAGUGUGGUCACGCUUUAAUACCCCGACAUAACACACGAAGGUGUGUGAGGGACUGGUUCAUUGUUGUAUAUAUGUCUACGUGGGUGUCUCAUACUAGACGCACGUGAUAACAUCGGUUCGUGAAACUCCAGGCACAAUGUCCUCCAGUGAAAGCUACACAUAAUCUGUAACCUCAUUUUAGAAGUCAUUCAAUGGAUAUUAAAAGCCCAUGUCUGCUCAUACUCAACAAGAGUUUAAACACUAUGUAAUUGCGAUUCUAAACGAGCCACAAGAUGGCGUUACAGUCGGACAAUGAGCAGCGUUUAGCUCAGGGUUUUGCCUAUGAUCUAUAUAAACAUGACCCAUAAAAACUUGCUUGACAAUCUUAUUAAAUUUUGUUGCUAAUAUUGCGAGAUACUUAUCCCCAAAUCUGGGUGAUUACAACUCUUCUGUGUUCAAGAUGCAAACAUCACCAUGCACAAAACUCGUGACGUAACGUUUGUACACAGCUACACCAUAUAUGGUCCCAUUUUUUAAAUUGCUUGAGGCCUUUAAGAUUUUACGGUGAUACAUCAACGAUGUGUUUGGAAAAAAUGGCAUGCUGCACUUAGCUUUAAUAACCAAUCCUCAGCGAACAUCCUGCUCGUUAACGGGUCCAAUGACAGUUAGUGUCCUCGAGUUUUCCCCGCACUCAAAUUUUAGAACCCCAUUGAGGACAAGCAGGAGGGAAGAACAUGUCGGGCUUACAAAGUAUGUGUCUCUCACAUAAAAGACAGGUCAGGGCGUGUUGGGAAUAACCGACAAAAAGGAAAAAAAACAUUUGACAAUGUCCACUUUGGUCUGUGGUCGAGCUUCUUGCCACGAGUUUACUCCGUGUACAAAGUAAAACAUUAAAAGGUGGCAACACAGGUAUUCUUUUUGACAAGUUCAAGAUGUCGUUGACCUCUGCAAGCCACUCUGCCUUUCCCUUUUUUUUCGAUCUAUUUAUAUCCCUUAAUUUAAUAUUCCGUUGACUUUUUGUUUUUUCUUGUUAACGAUUCCAUGUAACUUGAAACUGAUAAAGUGUCAAAGGUUCUGAUGACAGCGACAAGACAUCAAACACACCGCUGACUGUCGGAUACUGAUUGACAAAAACAAUUUACUCAUCGUCCUAGCAGGAAGUUCGGUCAGGCUUGUUUGACUUCACGGUAAACAUUGCUUGGAGACCAAACACGGACUGAACGCACCAGGAAUACAUUUUUUCCCCAUAAAGAAGAUUAAAUGUGUGGGUGGGGGGUAGGGAGGGAGAGAAGGGAAUGAAAUAUUAAUGAGCGAAUAGGUUCCCUGUUGAUCAAGGCUAAAUUUGGACACAUGACUAAAAGGUAAAUCAAAACAAGCAGGCAGCAAAACAAAUUAUAAAGUGUUUUGAUGCACAUGUUCACUCUCCAUGAGUCACAGCCAUGUUUGUGUGCAUGACCUAUGACCCGAGCACCCAUGCCUGACGCCAGUUACGCGGGUGGCUUGGAGAAAACGAGAAAACCGCAGGGUGUGUCACUUAGAACUGGGAAGGAGGAAGAUUAUCUACAAUGAAAGGAGGUUUAAAACAUACUCGUGCACCCGUGAUGAUUGCAAGAGGGAACCAGAAAAAAAAAAUCAGUGCAGGAUAAAAGUGAACAAGGCAGACCUUCAGCUCCACCUGCUCUUCUGAUAAGCUACCUCAGCGUUUCUCCCUACCACCCGAGGCGUGCUCAAGGUGCUUUACACACACAGAGACUGUCAUCACCGUGAGAGAGAGAGAGGAUUUUGUCCCCUCCUCAGACUGUACACACUGUCCUGAGAAUGCUCGUCAUCCAGUACACAGAGCCAGCCCCGAGCCUGUAAACACUAAACAUUUACAGUUUCCCUGAAUGUCUUUCUUUGUCAGCGAGGCGCGAACAAACGCAAGGAAGCAUUGGCUGCAUGUGAGUGCACAGGUGCACAGGUGUAAAACACAGUCAGCGGUGCACGGAGGGACUCGGCGUCUGGAGGUAGGAGGGAGGGUCUUCACUACACGAUAUCUCGAAAGCUUUCUGUAAUAAAUGUUGUCGCACAGCAGCAGUUGCUGCCUCAUCUACAGGUGUGAUGUUUGUUCUCUCUUGUUACCUUUGGGAACUUCAGCACUUGAGAAACUGUCAUUGCUAUAACACCUGCUGGUUCGACUACUACUACUCCUACUCUUACUGCUACGGGUACAAUGAGGACGACAAUCACAUGUCAAAGAAUGAAGGUGAGAAUUAAUUCCAUUCCUCGGAAACGCAAGACGAGAGGAAGACACUUUCGUUUUCGUCAACAAUUCUUUUGAAAUACAUUCUCCCUCCGGCCUUUUAAUCGCCCUGCUUUUAUGAACGGUUUUGUCCGCGCCUUCCAUUCAGGCAAGGAGGGACACCAGGAGGCCAGGGUCAAAGUGUCUCCGUUCACAGACUACAAACAUGUCUGUUUUAUGUGAUAGGGAGUGGCCAGACAAACCUCUCCAUUUUUUAACAAAAGCGCCACAGGUAAUUGAUGACCACGUGGUACUCGACUAAGAUAGUCUUUAAAAUAUUUUCGGCCUUUUCUAACCACUCUUACUGCUGAAACUUAAUCUCACAGUUUCUAAAUAAAUUAAUCAAUCAUUGCAUCCAUUAUACAUCCUUUAAAGAGAUACACCUUUACCGAAGCAUUAACUGUUGUAUCAGAGAAUCUUUAAAUAUCCCGCUUUAGAAAGCGGUGCGGCAGGUAAACUGCCUUCGUCAAAAUUCUAAAGUAAACAACUUUUAAAAAGAUUUGAA
rnacentral:lncRNA from 1 species